GUUAUGCUUGGAGGGACUAUGACAGGUGAAGGAAGAAAACUCAAAAGGAGAAAAUCUACAGACUGAAACAGGGAGGACAGUGGGCAAAUUGUGGAAAUGCUUCACACCUAGAACAUUGCUGAGAGGCCAUUAAUCUAAGAAUUCACUGAAGCCUGAAAAACAAGACUAAAAAUGAAUCUUCAAGAAUUUUCAGAGGGAAAAUGAAGUUCUGGCUACUUGAAGAUCCAGGUUCAGGUAUGUGAAUGCACACAUUAGGGAUGGCCCUGUCAUAUGUCCUGCCAG